rnacentral:rRNA from 1 species
AGACUUUGAUUAUGGCUCAGGACGAACGCUGGCGGCGCGCCUAACACAUGCAAGUCGAACGGGGUCCUUUUAGGAAGCUUGCUUCUUGGCUGGACCUAGUGGCGGACGGGUGAGUAACACGUGAGCAACCUGCCCUAGAGUGGGGGAUAACGUCUGGAAACGGACGCUAAUACCGCAUAAUAUCGAGAGCCGGCAUCGGUUUUCGAUCAAAGGAUUUAUUCGCUUUAGGGAUGGGCUCGCGUCCGAUUAGAUAGUUGGUGAGGUAACGGCUCACCAAGUCUACGAUCGGUAGCCGGACUGAGAGGUUGAUCGGCCACAUUGGGACUGAGACACGGCCCAGACUCCUACGGGAGGCAGCAGUGGGGGAUAUUGCACAAUGGGGGAAACCCUGAUGCAGCGACGCCGCGUGAGUGAAGACGGCCUUCGGGUUGUAAAGCUCUGUUGAGGGGGACGAUAAUGACGGUACCCCUUUAGAAAGCCACGGCUAACUACGUGCCAGCAGCCGCGGUAAUACGUAGUGGCGAGCGUUGUCCGGAAUUACUGGGUGUAAAGGGAGCGUACGGCGGGGCGUUUAAGUUGGCAUGUGAAAUACCGCGGCUCAACCGCGGGGCUGCAUCCAAAACUGGAUCUCUUGAGUGAAGUAGAGGGCAAGCGGAAUUCCUAGUGUACGCGGUGCAAAUGCGUAGAUACUUCAGGAGGAACACCAGUUGGCGAAGGCGGCUUGCCU